UUAAUAUUUCCUCCGUUCGGAAUUAUUUGUCGCAAGAAUGAAUGUAUCUAGAUGUAUUUUAAUUCUAGAUACAUCCAUUUCCGAGACAAGUAAUUCCGAACGGAGGGAGUACAAU
rfam:Triticum urartu cultivar G1812 contig1034840, whole genome shotgun sequence.